AUUGAACGCUGGCGGCAGGCCUAACACAUGCAAGUCGAGCGGAUGAAGGGAGCUUGCUCCUGGAUUCAGCGGAGGACGGGUGAGUAAUGCCUAGGAAUCUGCCUGGUAGUGGGGGAUAACGUCCGGAAACGGGCGCUAAUACCGCCUACGUCCUGCGGGAGAAAGUGGGGGAUCUUCGGACCUCACGCUCUCAGAUGAGCCUAGGUCGGAUUAGCUAGUUGGUGGGGUAAAGGCCUACUCAGGCGACGAUCCGUAACUGGUCUGAGAGGAUGAUCAGUCACACUGGAACUGAGACACGGUCCAGACUCCUACGGGAGGCAGCAGUGGGGAAUAUUAGACAAUGGGCGAAAGCCUGAUCCAGCCAUGCCGCGUGUGUGAAGAAGGUCUUCGGAGUGUAAAGCACUUUAAGUUGGGAGGAAGGGCAGUAAGUUAAUACCUUGCUGUUUUGACGUUACCAACAGAAUAAGCACCGGCUAACUUCGUG
rnacentral:rRNA from 1 species